CAGGAAGAUCUCUGUGAGUUUGAGGCCAGCCUGGUCAACAGAGUGAGCUCCAGGGCAGCCAUGAAUACACAGAGAAAACCUGUCUCAGGAA
rnacentral:miRNA from 1 species